ACGCGAAGAACCUUACCAAAUCUUGACAUCCUUUGACAACUCUAGAGAUAGAGUCUUCCCCUUCGGGGGACAAAGUGACAGGUGGUGCAUGGUUGUCGUCAGCUCGUGUCGUGAGAUGUUGGGUUAAGUCCCGCAACGAGCGCAACCCUUAAGCUUAGUUGCCAGCAUUAAGUUGGGCACUCUAAGUUGACUGCCGGUGACAAACCGGAGGAAGGUGGGGAUGACGUCAAAUCAUCAUGCCCCUUAUGAUUUGGGCUACACACGUGCUACAAUGGACAAUACAAAGGGCAGCUAAACCGCGAGGUCAUGCAAAUCCCAUAAAGUUGUUCUCAGUUCGGAUUGUAGUCUGCAACUCGACUACAUGAAGCUGGAAUCGCUAGUAAUCGUAGAUCAGCAUGCUACGGUGAAUACGUUCCCGGGUCUUGUACACACCGCCCGUCACACCACGAGAGUCUGUAACACCCGAAGCCGGUGGAGUAACCAUUUAUGGAGCUAGCCGUCGAAGGUGGGACAAAUGAUUGGGGUGAAGUCGUAACAAGGUAGCCGUAUCGGAA
rnacentral:rRNA from 1 species